UACAGAGGGUGCGAGCGUUGUUCGGAAUUAUUGGGCGUAAAGGGCGCGUAGGCGGUGCGGUAAGUCACCUGUGAAAUCUCCUGGCUCAACUGGGAGCUUGCAGGCGAAACUGCCGUGCUGGAGUGUGGGAGAGGUGCGUGGAAUUCCCGGUGUAGCGGUGAAAUGCGUAGAGAUGCGGAGGAACACCGAUGGCGAAGGCAGCCCCCUGGGCUAACACUGACGCUCAGGCACGAAAGCGUGGGGAGCAAACAGG
rnacentral:rRNA from 1 species